GAUGAACGCUGGCGGCGUGCUUAACACAUGCAAGUCGAACGGAAAGGCCCAAGCUUGCUUGGGUACUCGAGUGGCGAACGGGUGAGUAACACGUGGGUGAUCUGCCCUGCACUUCGGGAUAAGCCUGGGAAACUGGGUCUAAUACCGGAUAGGACCACUUCUUGGAUGUUGUGGUGGAAAGUUUUUUCGGUGUGGGAUGAGCUCGCGGCCUAUCAGCUUGUUGGUGGGGUAAUGGCCUACCAAGGCGUCGACGGGUAGCCGGCCUGAGAGGGUGUACGGCCGCAUUGGGACUGAGAUACGGCCCAGACUCCUACGGGAGGCAGCAGGGGGGAAUAUUGCACAAUGGGCGCAAGCCUGAUGCAGCGACGCCGCGUGGGGGAUGACGGCCUUCGGGUUGUAAACUCCUUUCGCUAGGGACGAAGCGUUUUGUGACGGUACCUGGAGAAGAAGCACCGGCUAACUACGUG
rnacentral:rRNA from 1 species